AUAAAGUUCUUGCUAACCGAAUCCAAGAACACAUUGAAAGACCCCCGAAGGGAGACCCUCACUCAAGCACUCAAGCCCCGGGACAGCCGCGGACCCAAGAAGACACUGAGACCA
rnacentral:pre_miRNA from 7 species